AUUGAACGCUGGCGGCAGGCCUAACACAUGCAAGUCGAGCGAGAGGCGGACGGGUGAGUAAUGUCUGGGAAACUGCCUGAGAGAGGGGGAUAACUACUGGAAACGGUAGCUAAUACCGCAUACCAUCAGAUGUGCCCAGAUGGGAUUAGCUAGGAGGUGGGGUAACGGCUAACCGAGGCGACGAUCCCUAUCUGGUCUGCACGGAUGACCAGCCACACUGGAACUGAGACACGGUCCAGACUCCUACGGGAGGCAGCAGGGGGUAAUAUUGCACAAGGGGCGAGAGCCGGAUGCAGCCAUGCCGCGUGUGGGAAGAAGGCCUUCGGGUUGUAAAGCACUUUCAGCGGGGAGGCGUUACCCGCAGAAGAAGCACCGGCUAACUCCGUGCCAGCCGCCGCGGUAAUAC
rnacentral:rRNA from 1 species